UACGUAGGUGACAAGCGUUGUCCGGAUUUACUGGGCGUAAAGAGCGCGCAGGCGGUCGUUCAAGUCGAGUGUGAAAGCCCCCGGCUCAACUGGGGAGGGUCACUCGAUACUGAUCGACUUGAAGGCAGGAGAGGGAAGCGGAAUUCCCGGUGUAGUGGUGAAAUGCGUAGAUAUCGGGAAGAACACCCGUGGCGAAGGCGGUUCUCUGGGACGGUACUGACGCUGAGACGCGAAAGCGUGGGGAGCGAACAGG
rnacentral:rRNA from 1 species